UGUUACCACUGGGUUGAGAAUGAAG
rnacentral:misc_RNA from 1 species